rnacentral:rRNA from 1 species
UAGAGGAAGUAAAAGUCGUAACAAGGUUUCCGUAGGUGAACCUGCGGAAGGAUCAUUAAUGAACAAGUACGUGCGGGGGGAGGGUUGUGCUGGCGCGUCCGCGCGCAUGUGCACGCCCGCCCCUCGUCGUCCGUCCACUCACACCUGUGCACCUUGCUCGUCAGGUCGAGGGGCCCUCCCUCGGCCGGCGCACUUUUCACACAACCUGUCUUAACCGGAUGUCAACUUUGCGUAAACGCAACCGAAAAACAACUUUUAACAACGGAUCUCUUGGUUCUCGCAUCGAUGAAGAACGCAGCGAAAUGCGAUAAGUAAUGUGAAUUGCAGAAUUCAGUGAAUCAUCGAAUCUUUGAACGCACCUUGCGCUCCUUGGUAUUCCGAGGAGCAUGCCCGUUUGAGUGUCGUGAUAUCAUCAGGCCGACCCCUCCUUUGCUGGCGGGGGUUACGCUUGGACUUGGAUGUGCUGCCGGACGGCGACGCCCGGCUCAUCCCAAAUGCAUUAGCUGGAUUUAAUCCUGGCUUGGACUUUUGUUCUCACUCGGCGUGAUAAGAUCACCCGUCGAGGACGUCCCUCGCCCCAUGGACCGGCUUCCAACCGUCCCCUCGCGGACAGAUCACUUUGACAAUCUGACCUCAAAUCGGGUAGGACUACCCGCUGAACUUAAGCAUAUCAU